CGCGUCGGUGUCGUGUUCUGUGACUGACUGGGCUGACGUCGGACUGGCGGGCGUCCGCUGGUCUGUCACAGAACCUGAGACCGGUCGCAU
rnacentral:pre_miRNA from 1 species